GAUGAACGCUGGCGGCGUGCCUAAUACAUGCAAGUCGAGCGAACAGACGAGGAGCUUGCUCCUCUGACGUUAGCGGCGGACGGGUGAGUAAAACGUGGAUAACCUACCUAUAAGACUGGGAUAACUUCGGGAAACCGGAGCUAAUACCGGAUAACAUGUUGAACCGCAUGGUUCAACAGUGAAAGACGGUUUUGCUGUCACUUAUAGAUGGAUCCGCGCCGCAUUAGCUAGUUGGUAAGGUAACGGCUUACCAAGGCAACGAUGCGUAGCCGACCUGAGAGGGUGAUCGGCCACACUGGAACUGAGACACGGUCCAGACUCCUACGGGAGGCAGCAGUAGGGAAUCUUCCGCAAUGGGCGAAAGCCUGACGGAGCAACGCCGCGUGAGUGAAGAAGGUCUUCGGAUCGUAAAACUCUGUUAUUAGGGAAGAACAAAUGUGUAAGUAACUAUGCACGUCUUGACGGUACCUAAUCAGAAAGCCACGGCUAACUACGUG
rnacentral:rRNA from 1 species